rnacentral:misc_RNA from 1 species
GGAAUUUUGGACAAUGGGCGCAAGCCUGAUCCAGCCAUGCCGCGUGUCUGAAGAAGGCCUUCGGGUUGUAAAGGACUUUUGUCAGGGAAGAAAAGGCUGUCGCUAAUACCGACAGCUGAUGACGGUACCUGAAGAAUAAGCACCGGCUAACUACGUGCCAGCAGCCGCGGUAAUACGUAGGGUGCGAGCGUUAAUCGGAAUUACUGGGCGUAAAGCGAGCGCAGACGGUUACUUAAGCAGGAUGUGAAAUCCCCGGGCUCAACCUGGGAACUGCGUUCUGAACUGGGUGACUAGAGUGUGUCAGAGGGAGGUAGAAUUCCACGUGUAGCAGUGAAAUGCGUAGAGAUGUGGAGGAAUACCGAUGGCGAAGGCAGCCUCCUGGGAUAACACUGACGUUCAUGCUCGAAAGCGUGGGUAGCAAACAGGA